rnacentral:RNase_P_RNA from 1 species
UCGGGAGAUUUUAGGGGCAACGUGCAAGUACUUAAACGCCCUUGGGAAGGUCUGAGAGAAGAACCAUUUGUAGAACCGAAACGGUUUCUCGUGAAAACAUGAGGCGGGCGAGAGAGGAAAUGAUGUUCGUUUGGAGGUAGCCCAAAUGAUUCUUGUUACGAUGAUGCCGUGGCCUCCAAAGGAAAUUGGGAUAUGCUCGUGGUUAUAAUAAGAAGUUCGAUAUGCGAGGCGCCUGCUUCAGGCUUAACUCAAUUCAGAUUAUUGCAGACAGA